UCCUGGUUAGCUCAAUGGUAGAGCAACCGCCCCGCAAAGGCAUUGGUCACGGGUUCGAGCCCCGGACCAGGAG